CGGAGGGAGCUAGCGUUAUUCGGAAUUACUGGGCGUAAAGCGCACGUAGGCGGCUUUGUAAGUUAGAGGUGAAAGCCUGGAGCUCAACUCCAGAAUUGCCUUUAAGACUGCAUCGCUUGAAUCCAGGAGAGGUGAGUGGAAUUCCGAGUGUAGAGGUGAAAUUCGUAGAUAUUCGGAAGAACACCAGUGGCGAAGGCGGCUCACUGGACUGGUAUUGACGCUGAGGUGCGAAAGCGUGGGGGAGCAAACAGGAUU
rnacentral:rRNA from 1 species